UGGGGAAUAUUGCACAAUGGGGGAAACCCUGAUGCAGCGACGCCGCGUGAGCGAAGAAGGUUUUCGAAUCGUAAAGCUCUGUCCUAUGGGAAGAUAAUGACGGUACCAUAGGAGGAAGCCCCGGCUAACUACGUGCCAGCAGCCGCGGUAAUACGUAGGGGGCAAGCGUUGUCCGGAAUCACUGGGCGUAAAGGGUUCGCAGGCGGAAAUGCAAGUCAGUUGUGAAAGGCAGAGGCUCAACCUCUGUAAGCAAUUGAAACUGUAUUUCUUGAGAUGUGGAGAGGCAAGUGGAAUUCCUAGUGUAGCGGUGAAAUGCGUAGAUAUUAGGAAGAUUACCGGUGGCGAAGGCGACUUGCUGGACACAAACUGACGCUGAGGAACGAAAGCGUGGGUAGCAAACAGG
rnacentral:rRNA from 1 species